rnacentral:rRNA from 1 species
AGAGUUUGAUCAUGGCUCAGGAUGAACGCUGGCGGUAUGCUUAACACAUGCAAGUCGAACGAAAUCUUCGGAUUUAGUGGCGGACGGGUGAGUAACGCGUGAGAAUCUACUCUUAGAUUGGGGACAACAGUUGGAAACGACUGCUAAUACCGAAUGUGCCGAAAGGUAAAAGAUUUAUCGUCUGAGAAUGAGCUCGCGUUGGAUUAGCUAGUUGGAGUGGUAAUGGCACACCAAGGCGACGAUCCAUAACUGGUCUGAGAGGAUGACCAGUCACACUGGGACUGAGACACGGCCCAGACUCCUACGGGAGGCAGCAGUGGGGAAUUUUCCGCAAUGGGCGAAAGCCUGACGGAGCAAUACCGCGUGAGGGAGGAAGGCUCUUGGGUCGUAAACCUCUUUUAUUAGGGAAGAAGAUCUGACGGUACCUAA